rnacentral:snoRNA from 1 species
UGAAUGAUGAUGAACAAUAUGCUGGCACCCGUCUCAUCUCUUCGUUAUUGUCGAAAGAAAUGAUGAUUAUUUUGCUGGACACCAAAUACGUGGGGUCCCUGA